UUACUGUCUCUGUCCCCAGACCCUGAUGUUAUGUUUGCUCUGUGAGGUAUUGCUAAUUCUUCAGAACUCAGCAAUGGAAGAGGCACCUUCCUCAGACAAGAAGUGGAUGUGACAGCGUUCCUGAGCUCCUGCUGCCCCAUCAACAGUGGGCACUCUAGGCAAGCACAAAUCUAGUGCAGAUCCUAGGACAACAGACAGAGAUCAACUGUCUGGAUCUGGCUUGACCUCACAGCAAAGCCCAUGGCCACACUCUGCAGCACAGAUUGCCUGUCUAGAGGGGGACACAGAUUUCCUGUGCUGGACCCCUUUUGGAGGUGAGCAUGAAUAUUUCAUGGCAGGGAGAGAAUGCUUCAGUAGCAUGAUGCAAACAUGGGUUUACAUUGUGCAGUAAGGGACAAAGGACAACAGACCCCAGGUCAGCAUCUCCAGCUGAGGUCCACUUAGAAAAGAAGGCUCCCAAGGGCAUAGGGACCUCCUGGG